AGUCGUAACAAGGUUUCCGUAGGUGAACCUGCGGAAGGAUCAUUAGUGAACAUAGGACGUCCAACUUAACUUGGAGUCCGAACUCUCACUUUCUAACCCUGUGCAUUUGUUUGGGGUAGUAGCCUUUCGGGGCGAAUCCCUAUUCACUUAUAAACACAAAGUCUAUGAAUGUAUUUAAUUUUAUAACAAAAUAAAACUUUCAACAACGGAUCUCUUGGCUCUCGCAUCGAUGAAGAACGCAGCGAAAUGCGAUAAGUAAUGUGAAUUGCAGAAUUCAGUGAAUCAUCGAAUCUUUGAACGCACCUUGCGCUCCAUGGUAUUCCGUGGAGCAUGCCUGUUUGAGUGUCAUGAAUACUUCAACCCUCCUCUUUCUUUAUGAUCGAAGAGGUGUUUGGAUUCUGAGCGUUUUGCUGGCCUCACGGUCGAGCUCGCUCGUAAUGCAUUAGCAUCCGCAAUCGAACUUCGGAUUGACUUGGCGUAAUAGACUAUUCGCUGAGGAAUUCUAGUCUUCGGACUAGAGCCGGGUUGGAUUAAAGGAAGCUCCUAAUCCUAAUGUCUAUUUUUAAGAUUAGAUCUCAAAUCAGGUAGGACUACCCGCUGAACUUAAGCAUAUCAAUAAAAGUCG
rnacentral:rRNA from 1 species